UACGUAGGGUGCGAGCGUUAAUCGGAAUUACUGGGCGUAAAGCGUGCGCAGGCGGUUCGUUAAGUCAGCUGUGAAAGCCCCGGGCUCAACCUGGGAAUGGCAGUUGAAACUGGCGGGCUGGAGUGUGGCAGAGGGGGGUGGAAUUCCACGUGUAGCAGUGAAAUGCGUAGAGAUGUGGAGGAACACCGAUGGCGAAGGCAGCCCCCUGGGCCAACACUGACGCUCAGGCACGAAAGCGUGGGGAGCAAACAGG
rnacentral:rRNA from 1 species